AGAGUUUGAUCAUGGCUCAGGACGAACGCUGGCGGCGUGCCUAACACAUGCAAGUCGCGGGAGAAAGCUCCUUCGGGAGCGAGUAGACCGGCGGACGGCUGAGUAACGCGUGAGUGACCUGCCUCGAGGCGGGGGGCAACCCAGGGAAACCUGGGCUAAUACCGCAUACAGCGGCGGGGGUGGAGCCCCGUCGUGAAAGUCGACCUCUCUUCGAAGUCGACGCCUCUGGACGGGCUCGCGUCCUAUCAGCUGGUUGGUGAGGUAACGGCUCACCAAGGCGAUGACGGGUAGCUGACGUGAGAGCGUGGUCAGCCAGACUGGGACUGAGACACGGCCCAGACUCCUACGGGAGGCAGCAGUGGGGAAUCUUGCACAAUGGGCGAAAGCCUGAUGCAGCGACGCCGCGUGGGGGAGGAAGGCCGAGAGGUUGUAAACCCCUGUCAGGCGGGAAGAAACGUUGGCCGGCGAACAGCCGGUCGACCUGACGGUACCGCCAGAGGAAGCUCCGGCUAACUCCGUGCCAGCAGCCGCGGUAAAACGGAGGGAGCAAGCGUUGUCCGGAAUCACUGGGCGUACAGCGCGUGAAGGCGGCCGGAUCAGUCGUGUGUGAAAGCCCCGGGCUCAACCCGGGACGUGCAUGCGAUACUGUCCGGCUAGAGACAGGCAGGGGCGAGCGGAAUUCCCGGUGUAGCGGUGGAAUGCGUAGAUAUCGGGAGGAACACCCGUGGCGAA
rnacentral:rRNA from 1 species